UACAGAGGUCUCAAGCGUUGUUCGGAUUCAUUGGGCGUAAAGGGUGCGUAGGUGGCGCCGUAAGUCAGGUGUGAAAUCUCGGGGCUCAACCCCGAAACUGCACUUGAUACUGCGGUGCUCGAGUACUGGAGAGGAGAUUGGAAUUUACGGUGUAGCAGUGAAAUGCGUAGAUAUCGUAAGGAAGACCAGUGGCGAAGGCGAAUCUCUGGACAGUUACUGACACUGAGGCACGAAGGCCAGGGGAGCAAACGGGG
rnacentral:rRNA from 1 species